rnacentral:rRNA from 1 species
GCGCAGCAGUCGAGAAACCUCCGCAAUGCUCGAAAGAGCGACGGGGGGACUCCAAGUGCCUACGCUCAGCGUAGGCUGUUCCCGAGCCUAAAAAAGCUCGGGGAGUAAGGGCUGGGUAAGACGGGUGCCAGCCGCCGCGGUAAUACCCGCAGCCCGAGUGGUGGCCGCUAUUAUUGGGCCUAAAGCGUCCGUAGCCGGCUCGGUAAAUGCCUGGGUAAAUCGUCUGGCCCAACCAGACGAAUUCCGGGUAGACUGCCGGGCUAGGGACCGGAGGAGGGAGAGGGGUACUCCGAGGGGUAGGGGUGAAAUCAGCAAGGUGAGUUGCUGAUGUAACUUGCCUUGCAAGUCACAAUCCUGUAAUCCCUGGAGGACCACCGGUGGCGAAGGCGCUCUCCUAGGACGGGCCCGACGGUGAGGGACGAAAGCCGAGGGGA